rnacentral:rRNA from 1 species
GACGUAGGGCGCGAGCGUUGUCCAGAUUUAUUGGGCGUAAAGAGCUCGUAGGCGGCUUGUCACGUCUGCUGUGAAAUCCCGGGGCUCAACCCCGGGCGUGCAGUGGAUACGGGCUGGCUAGAGGCAGGCAGGGGAGAACGGAAUUCCCGGUGUAGCGGUGAAAUGCGCAGAUAUCGGGAGGAACACCGGUGGCGAAGGCGGUUCUCUGGGCCUGUACUGACGCUGAGGAGCGAAAGCGUGGGGAGCGAACAGG